rnacentral:lncRNA from 1 species
GGCGGUCGUUGCACCUACCCACGAUCAUGGCGGUGGUUGUGCAUAAUCCAACGGCCGGCGGCCGUUCGAAUGGCCGUGGAGUCGUAACUGGCCAUGAUUCUACGGCCUUAUCCUCUCAAUGGCUAGCAGAUUGGGCAGGAGAACGCAAUUCCUGUGUUCCAAUCCAUUUUUUUUAAAUUUUUCGAAUUGAAGUUGAUGGGUGUUGCCGACUUCAAUUCGGGAUGGAUCCUUAUGGGCCGGUUCUCACUUUCUCCCCUUGAAAAUUUCGUCCUUGAAAUUUGAGAAAUCUAGGCCUUCCAAAUUUAGAUAUGCUCAGCCCAUGGUAGCUAGAGAACUUAUUAUGGGGUUUUUUCCUAAUUCAAGCACCACUGCAGCACCUUGCCAUAAUAAACACCAAGGCUAGCCCUCAUGAGUUCUUUACUCGAACACAUAAUACGCAUCUGUCAUGCACAUCCAUACCUCUACUCGAUACUCUAUCAAACAGAACUUAUGUGACAUCCUCGAGUGCCCGCAGGCAACCCGACCCUUAG